AGAGAAAUCGGACUGCAGCGCGUCCCCAAUUUUUCUGUUGCCCUAAGUCCAGUUAUCACAUCCUGGCAAGAUGCUUGGGAGAGCAGUGCCUACUUGUGGGGCGUCAGUUCAGCUAUUGGACUGAACAGCAGCACCUUCCUUCAACCUCCACCCAGGCAGCGCAGUUGCUGUGCAUGGGAAACUGAGCGCCCAGAUAGUUGCUGCUUUGAGAUCCAAACCUUCCCUCGGAGCAGCACCCUGCCUCUGGCCCAUGUACAGCCGACUGACUACGGCACAGAGCCCAGCAGGAGGAGGCUGCUGACAGAGUACCAGUCCAGCUAUGCUGCUGAGUGGGCCCAACCUAAGCGUCGGCAAGGUGACUUUCACCAUCAUCUUCCUCCUUGUCACUGGAAUUUCCGUCCUUCAGUCUGAA